rnacentral:rRNA from 1 species
AAUACGUUCCCGGGCCUUGUACACACCGCCCGUCACACCAUGGGAGUGGGUUGCAAAAGAAGUAGGUAGCUUAACCUUCGGGAGGGCGCUUACCACUUUGUGAUUCAUGACUGGGGUGAAGUCGUAACAAGGUAACCGUAGGGGAACCUGCGGUUGGAUCACCUCCUUACCUAAAGA